rnacentral:tRNA from 1 species
GGUCCUGUAGUUCAACGGAUAGAAUAGGAGUUUCCUAAACUCUAGAUAUGAGUUCGAUUCUCGUCAGGACCA